GCCGGUGUGGUGGAACGGUCAGACACGGUCCCCUUAAAAGGGACUGCCCCCGUGGGGCAUGCGGGUUCGACUCCCGUCGCCGGCA
rnacentral:tRNA from 1 species